UACGUAGGGGGCAAGCGUUGUCCGGAUUUAUUGGGCGUAAAGAGCGUGUAGGCGGCCAUGCAGGUCAGCUGUGAAAACUCGAGGCUCAACCUCGAGACGCCGGUGGAAACCAUCAGACUAGAGUCCGGAAGAGGAAAGUGGAAUUCCUGGUGUAGAGGUGAAAUUCGUAGAUAUCAGGAGGAACACCAGUGGCGAAGGCGGCUUUCUGGACGGUAACUGACGCUGAGACGCGAAAGCGUGGGGAGCAAACAGG
rnacentral:rRNA from 1 species